rnacentral:rRNA from 1 species
ACGGUUACCUUGUUACGACUUCACCCCAAUUAUCGAACCCACCUUCGGCCGCGCCCUCCUUGCGGUUAGGCUACGGACUUCGGGUGUUCCCGACUCUCAUGGUGUGACGGGCGGUGUGUACAAGGCCCGGGAACGUAUUCACCGCGGCAUGCUGAUCCGCGAUUACUAGCGAUUCCGACUUCAUGCAGUCGAGUUGCAGACUGCAAUCUGAACUGGGACGGCUUUUAGGGGUUCGCUCCACUUCGCAGUUUUGCAUCCCUCUGUUUACCGCCAUUGUAUUACGUGUGUAGCCCAGGACAUAAGGGGCAUGAUGAUUUGACGUCGUCCCCACCUUCCUCCGUUUUGUCAACGGCAGUCUCGCUAGAGUGCUCUUGCGUAGCAACUAACAAUAAGGGUUGCGCUCGUUGCGGGACUUAACCCAACAUCUCACGACACGAGCUGACGACAACCAUGCACCACCUGUCUCUGCUUUCCCCGAAGGGCACCUGACGUAUCUCUACCUCGUUAGCAGGAUGUCAAGCCCUGGUAAGGUUCUUCGCGUUGCAUCGAAUUAAACCACAUAAUCCACCGCUUGUGCGGGCCCCCGUCAAUUCCUUUGA